UCCAUGUAAUCCCUCCAAGAGUUAUUCUCUGUGUUUCAGCAUUCCAUAAUAAGUCUUCCCAUAUCUGAGUUUUCCCUUCACUGCUUGCAAACUGAAGUUGUUUAAAGUCAGCGAAGCAGAGAAUGCAAAAGACUGAGGACCAGAGUUGGUCAGGAAGAACCAACCGGGCUCUCAGUAAACAUUGGAAACAAUCCAUGCGUCCUUAUGUUCCAACUGUUCUAACCAACAUCAUGAAAGCCAGACAAUGUUCCUCCUUGCUGCCACAUUCCUGCUUACGACUCUGCAAUGGGGAACACAGCAGCAGGAGA